rnacentral:rRNA from 1 species
UACGUAGGGUGCAAGCGUUGUCCGGAAUUAUUGGGCGUAAAGAGCUCGUAGGCGGUCUGUCGCGUCGGCUGUGAAAUCCCGAGGCUCAACCUCGGGUCUGCAGUCGAUACGGGCAGACUAGAGUUCGGUAGGGGAGUCUGGAAUUCCUGGUGUAGCGGUGAAAUGCGCAGAUAUCAGGAGGAACACCGGUGGCGAAGGCGGGACUCUGGGCCGAUACUGACGCUGAGGAGCGAAAGCGUGGGGAGCAAACAGG